GACGAACGCUGGCGGCGUGCUUAACACAUGCAAGUCGAACGGAAAGGCCCUGCUUUUGUUGGGUGCUCGAGUGGCGAACGGGUGAGUAACACGUGAGUAACCUGCCCUUGACUUUGGGAUAACUUCAGGAAACUGGGGCUCAUAUCGGAUAGGAGCUCCUGCUGCAUGGUGGGGGUUGGAAAGUUUCGGCGGUUGGGGCUGGACUCGCGGCUUAUCAGCUUGUUGGUGGGGUAGUGGCUGACCAAGGCUUUGACGGGUAGCCGGCCUGAGAGGGUGACCGGCCACAUUGGGACUGAGAGACGGCCCAGACUCCUACGGGAGGCAGCAGUGGGGAAUAUUGCACAAUGGGCGGAAGCCUGAUGCGGCAACGCCGCGUGCGGGAUGACGGCCUUCGGGUUGUAAACCGCUUUCGCCUGUGACGAAGCGUGAGUGACGGUAAUGGGUAAAGAAGCACCGGCUAACUACGUG
rnacentral:rRNA from 1 species